UGCCACACAGAAAUUGAAAAAUUGGAUUACCCUGCACUGCCAAAAGCAAUUACACUAACCAGGACUUCACCAUGUUUUCUUCUUUCGUCUAAAGGUGACUACAUCUCCCUAGAAAACUGCUACUGCUUAAGAGAACUGCUCUUUCAAUUCUUGGCUCUCUCCAACCCCACACCCCCUUUUUUAUUUUUUAAUUUGCUAAUCAUUUUCUGAAGUCAAGGAACUCCAGAGGUCUAUUAAAUGUGGCAAGAAAAUCAUCCUCAUUAAUGAGUGACAAAAGCAACGGGACAAAAAUCAUAUGCUCUGACAGUAGACACAGAUGACGACACAGCAGAAGCAUGCAUUUCUGAGCACUCUUCUCAGCAGAGAUGCCCUCCUACUCGUCCUGACUGUAGUGCUGGACUUCAGGUCAUCGUACAAGGUUCCUUAUUAGCCCACUCCUGCCCUCAAGUGUAUCUGCUUCCUCAAUUUGGCGACUUCAGCAAGUAAGGGUGCCCUCUGUCACCUCCUCCAGGCCACUACUGUUAAACAGGGUAUUGCAGGCUCCCACAGUGCCACACCUGUCACCAGCCUCCAUGUAGAGUACAACUUAACUACUACUUUCAGAGUCCAAACACAUUUUUUCCACAUCUGUCCACCCAUCUAACAUCCCAACUUGGACACAUGCAUACACCACAUUGAGAGCCUUGCUAAAGUCAAGGCAAAUGGCCAUUGCUACACCUCUUUCACUCACAAAUCUAUCAUGGAAGGCAAGUGGGAUGAUCAGUCAUGAUUUCACCUUGGCAAAUCCAUGCUGACUGCUGCCAAUCUCCUCCUAUUUCAUGUACCCAAAAAUGUGUUCUAAAAGGGCCCAACCCAGGAUUUUUCCAAGGAGCGCAGUGGAGUUGAUUGGUUUAUGGUUCCCUAGAUUGUCCUUUGGCAGAUGGGUGCAAUAUUAUUCGCCUUCCUUAAAUUGCUGCAGAUUUCCCACACUUUCUGUGACCUUGUAAAGAUAGAACAACUUUGCAAGGAUAUCAGGCAGCUUUUUCAGCAUCCUCAGAUGUGACCCAUCGUGUCCUGUGGUCCUGCAUGGGUCAGAUUUUCCCAGCUGAUCUUCAACUUUAUCUUCAUUCAUUGCUUUCCCUUGUUUCAAAUAUAGAAGUUUAAGAUCUUGAUAGCAGGGACUGAGGCAAAGGCAGCAUUGGGGAACUGCAUCCCUCACAGCUCACAAUGGGGAAUGGGUUCAGUCACACAGUUCAGCUACAAGACCACUGUUCUCUGUUGAUCAGUGCCACACUGGAAAGCUUUGGACCGCCAAAUACCACCUCUACAUGCCUGCCCAAUGUUUCUGGCCUCUUCCUUCAUGGCCAGCACAUUCCUACCUCCUGUAUACUUCCCCCCCCCCCCCCCCCCCCCCAUUAUAAUGGGGUCAUGCAUUCCCUGAGUAGCCCACACAGUCCCUGGCAGAUCUAUCACCAUUCCUAAACUGUUAUUUCACUUGGAAGAUGCUAUCCUUGGUGUUCUGCCCAUCUUCCUAGACUCCUUUAAAGAGUUGUCUCCCAGGGAUUCCACCUCCCCCUUUCUUGCACACCCCCCAGGGUCUGCUUUCAUUGCCUUCCUCACUUUUUUCAGGAUCUCAAGCUCCAGUAUUGUAAAGCCACAAAAAGCAGAGGGUGACACUGUUUAUUACUGGAAUGGUGCACAAUUCAGAACUGAUUGGAUAGAGAAGAGUUAAUUACCUCACAAUUCUUGUUGCUAGAGUAACAGCACCACAUUUCUAUUUAUUCGAACCAUCAGUUCCAGGAAAGACACAAAGGAUGUCUUCUAUCUGAAGUUCACAGAACAAUAAGCAAACCAUUAAGGUUAAUUCUGGAUGCAUUAGGACUAGCACCUAGUUCAUUAUAACCCAAUUAAGGGCAUUUGGAACUUCUCUCUCGCCUUUCACCUCUUCAUCAGGAGGUAUGGGGAAUAAUUUGAAAACUGUAAUCAGAGAAACUUGUGGGAGCUUAAGUUCUGCAUUCUUCUCUUUCUGCUCAGAUUUCACUAUCUUGAAGCAUAGUAACAAAGACUUCUAGAAGUAUUUGUACUUACAUUAAUAUGAUACUGAAUAAAUAUUUCAAGAAUGAAUUCUCUCCUUCAUAAGAGCUGAAACAUGAAACUUUUAUUUUACUGACUUCUGAAAAUAAUCCAAAGAUUACAGUUCUGUACAUUCUGAAACAUCAAUGCAGCCAUCAGCUGGAAAACUGAGAACUCAGCUGUAUUCCACAGCAGAAAAAAAAAACCCUUUACUACUAAUAAGUAGACCUUGUUACCCCAUUACAAAGCCCCCUGAUGCCCUGAAGUCUGGUAAAUCUCAAUCUUCAAGGUUUAUUGAGCUUUAACAGGCAGAACAACCACCUCGAAGCAAACAGUUAUGCAAGGAAAUUCAGCAAUGAGAGCAAGUUCUCAAGUAGGAGGGUCCAGUGAUCCUGGAAGAAGGUUCUCAAAUGGCUUUACAGCAACUUUUAGCAGGUUUCCAAUCAAACCAGCAACUGGCGUUUUCUGAAAUACUCAUCAGCACACCUGAGUUUGCUCACAAGUGUGUCGAACCUUUUUUAUCCUCCCCUCCUAUCAUUCCAAAGAUGGAACUACUGAAUUCUAAGAUCCAAUUCCUUAAAAAAGAAUGACAUUCAUUUCCUCUCAGUUAGUUGCUAUGGAGAUAGUACUGCACAACCGGACCUCUGCUGGAACACGAUGUGAAAACCUAAAAAAGCUCUUAUUUUUGAGAAUCAGUUGUUCAAAGACACACGCACUGAGGAGGCUGUUUACAUAAUAGGCAACUAAUCAGAGACACGUCCAAGAUUUGCAUCUCCAUGAAACGUCUAACUUCCCGUUGUUCCUGGGAAUAUUGGGAUUAUUCCCAGUACUCCUGUCCCCUCAAAUAAUUAUGACUGGUUUCAGUCACUUUAAAUGAAAAAGUCAGCACUAAUUUCAAGGAACACGAAUCUUUUAAUUGCUGAUGCAGAGGAAAAAACAACAUCCAUAUUCCUGAUACAUUGCUUAUGCCUCCAAAAGAAUACUAACAGACCAACAACACUGCCACCACACUUUUUGAUAGAAUAUCUGCUUUUUUGCAUUGAAUGACUACUUGAGUUCUCAGUGGGUGCAAAAAAAACAUGGAGCUAUCCUUUGAGACAGUGACACUAUACAUUCCCCUGUGCAUCCUGUCAUACCUCCACUGCUCUCUCCAUCGCCAUUGGAGAGAGAUGGUUACGCACCGAAACAUUAUCUUGCACACAGAGGUGUGGUGAAGGAGGUUACUAAGGAAAAAAAAAAUAAAGCUGCACUGGCCACUACAUAAUUUCUAACCCAAUGAUGUAGCUAAACACUCUCAAAUUUGCACUCCAUCCAUCAAGAAAUGGAACUAUGGCACUUCUUUUUAGAGAAGAUGCAACCUUAAAACACCUUCCUGUAGAUAAUGAAGAUUUUCUUCCCUUAACUCCAGUAAAUGACAGUUUUAUCACUGUAACAAGAACAUGAACAAUCAAAAGUUGCAUGUAAGAUGAAAAACUGCAGUCUGGAAAAACUGCUGGUUAUUUUAGCAGAACAAGAAAGAAAAAAAAAAAAAAAAAUGUAUGGCUGUCCUGGACAUGAAGAUUUUCAGUUACUGAAAGAUUUGCUCAGAUCAGGUGUACUUUCCAGCCAUCGAGUAAUUCCUCUUCCUCGAAUGGUACUUGUUCCAUAAGGAAAACUCUUCCCAUCACAUGAAGAAUCACCUAUUAAAUUAAAUACAGUUUACAAAUGAAGUGUAUAUGCGUGGAAUGUAUUCACUAUUUCUAACAGGAAGAGAGAGAGACAUGGGUUCUGUCCUUCACAAACAUCAAGUCCAUAUAAGAUCUCAUGAUUUGUAUUUGGAACAGUUUCAGCAUUUAAUUCAGUGUGUACUGUCUAAGCAAAAACAUAAGCUGCAAACUCAGAAUUCUUAAGUUAUCUGUCUUGCAAACUUAAUUCUGCUCCUCUUUGAAGGUUAGUCACAUAUUGCACAAAUGAAUUGAAUGCACAUACUUUAUACUAGAAAGAUUUUAGCUCCAAGAAGAUGACUUGAAACAAGCACUUUUUUUUAAAGAUCCAGGAGUAACAGAAUGCUUACUACAGGUACCACUUGUAUCUGCACAUACAACUCCAAAAGAAAGAUGGUAUUUUAAAGAUAGCCUUGCCUUAAGGUAUCUAAACAUGCUAGAAAGAACUUCAUAUGACAGAAAAACAAGGUUUUAUAAAUCAGAUAGCAACAUUUACAAGAAAAUCUGAUUUUGGAUAGACUUUCUGGCCAUAUGUUUUGGUCUAGUAACAAAAGUGCAGCUAUUUCAUCUUCAGAAACUCAGAAAUCUGCACUAUGUACCAUUAUAAACCCAGCUCAUGCAGAGCUGAAUAGGCUUUAUGCCACUGACAGACAAUAACUUCUGAGCCCAAAAAUUUGAAAAAACUGCAAUUGGAUUAUGUUUAAAUACUCUUUUUCCCUUUACAAAUGGGGAAGUCUCAAACUCACAACUAGAAGGGACAAGCUCUUGAACUCCACUUGGAGAAAGGAUGUCUCUGUCACUUCCAGAACCCUUGGCCUUCAAUUCCUGCAGGAAGAAAUAAACAUUCAAAAUAAGAGAAGUCUUCUCUGAAGUGACACGUGCAUAACUACUCACGAUACCUGUGAGUCGUAUUCAAAAACCAUCACAAGGUACAACCCAGCCAGAGAUUAUUUUUCUUUUCUCAGUCUGCUAAGUAUACCUUAAAAAAAAGACAGCAUCCAAAAAGGAAGACGGCUAACCUCAAAUUACCAAGUGCGUUCUGUCUACAGCAUUUGAGUUAACCAGAAAUAACACAGGAAAACAAUUUAAAGAAACUGACCUGAAAACGUCCAGCAUCCAGUAUUACCCGCCUGAGGUUUGUAUUUCCACUGGAAACACUGUCUUUAAGAGGCAGGUGAGCAGCCGUCAGCGAGACUCCGUACACACCAGCUAACGAUUUACUGAUGCAAUAACUUGACCAGGAAAAUAAAGAAAUCAAAAGAAGUUUUGUUAAGAAGGCUGUAACGCUCGCAUACGGAAGCACAGCAUUCUUAGAUCUUCAACUGACAAAGCCACCACAGAUCAACAGGCAGAGAUGACAACAGAGGGAAAAAGGACACUGUCGCAGCAGCUAACAACCCUGUACCUUUCCAACUUCACCAGAAUAUUCUACAACUACAUGUGAAAUUAACACAGUCACUUCCCCCUGCUGUCAAACGUAACCACUUAGAAGCAUGAAAUGCACUGCUGAAAGUUUGCUGAACGCUGUUUUGGGUUUUUUUUUUUUUGAAAAUAAAAGACUAUUAAUUAUGACUUCUCUCAAAUAGCAUUACUACUAUUGACUGAGAUCUUGAACUGCAUUUCUUUCCCAACUACUUACUUAUCUUUCCCCCAGCCUAAAAUAGAGAAGCUUGUCUAUCUACAUUAUAUGUAAAACAGCAUAAUCAUCAAAUCAUAGAACGGCUUGGGUUGAAAAGGACCACAACGAUCAUCUAGUCUCAGCCCCCCUAGAGAUGGAUUAAAGUAUACUGAGAAUCUCCCACCAAACUGAAGUGCAGUAAACCUCUGAAGAAAA